rnacentral:rRNA from 1 species
GAUGAACGCUGGCGGCGUGCCUAAUACAUGCAAGUCGAGCGAACAGACGAGGAGCUUGCUCCUCUGACGUUAGCGGCGGACGGGUGAGUAACACGUGGAUAACCUACCUAUAAGACUGGGAUAACUUCGGGAAACCGGAGCUAAUACCGGAUAAUAUAUUGAACCGCAUGGUUCAAUAGUGAAAGACGGUUUUGCUGUCACUUAUAGAUGGAUCCGCGCCGCAUUAGCUAGUUGGUAAGGUAACGGCUUACCAAGGCAACGAUGCGUAGCCGACCUGAGAGGGUGAUCGGCCACACUGGAACGGAGACACGGUACAGAGUCCUACGGAAGCAAGCAGUAGGGAAUCGUCCGCAAUGGGCGAAAACCUGACGGAGCAACGCCGCGUGAGUGAUGAAGGUCUUCGGAUCGUAAAACUCUGUUAUUAGGGAAGAACAAAUGUGUAAGUAACUAUGCACGAAUUGACGGUACCUAAUCAGAAAGCCACGGCUAACUACGUG